rnacentral:rRNA from 1 species
GAUGAACGCUGGCGGCGUGCCUAAUACAUGCAAGUCGAGCGAACAGACGAGGAGCUUGCUCCUCUAACGUUAGCGGCGGACGGGUGAGUAACACGUGGAUAACCUACCUAUAAGACUGGGAUAACUUCGGGAAACCGGAGCUAAUACCGGAUAAUAUAUUGAACCGCAUGGUUCAAUAGUGAAAGACGGUUUUGCUGUCACUUAUAGAUGGAUCCGCGCCGCAUUAGCUAGUUGGUAAGGUAACAGCUUACCAAGGCAACGAUGCGUAGCCGGCCUGAGAGGGUGAUCGGCCACACUGGAACUGAGACACGGUCCAGACUCCUACGGGAGGCAGCAGUAGGGAAUCUUCCGCAAUGGGCGAAAGCCUGACGGAGCAACGCCGCGUGAGUGAUGAAGGUCUUCGGAUCGUAAAGCUCUGUUAUUAGGGAAGAACAAAUGUGUAAGUAACUAUGCACGUCUUGACGGUACCUAAUCAGAAAGCCACGGCUAACUACGUG